rnacentral:rRNA from 1 species
CCUACGGGAGGCUGCAGUGGGGAAUUUUGGACAAUGGGCGCAAGCCUGAUCCAGCCAUGCCGCGUGCGGGACGAAGGCCUUCGGGUUGUAAACCGCUUUCAGCCGGAAAGAAAUCGCCGUUUUUAAUACAGACGGUGGAUGACGGUACCGGAAGAAGAAGCACCGGCUAACUACGUGCCAGCAGCCGCGGUAAUACGUAGGGUGCGAGCGUUAAUCGGAAUUACGCGGCGUAAAGCGUGCGCAAGACGUGAAAUCCCCGGGCUUAACCUGGGAACUGCGUUUGGAACUGCAAGACUAGAGUGUGUCAGAGGGAGGUGGAAUUCCACGUGUAGCAGUGAAAUGCGUAGAUAUGUGGAGGAACACCGAUGGCGAAGGCAGCCUCCUGGGAUAACACUGACGCUCAUGCACGAAAGCGUGGGGAGCAAACAGGAUUAGAUACCCCUGUAGUC